GGAGCGGUAGCUCAGCUGGAUAGAGCAUUCGCCUUCUAAGCGAAUUGUCGUGAGUUCGAACCUCACUCGCUUCA
rnacentral:tRNA from 1 species